rnacentral:sRNA from 1 species
UAAGGUGGAAGGGCUGUUAAAAUAUUCACACCACGAUGAGGGCAAUGCGACACUGCAACCCUCAAUGAUUGAUCAAAGUCGUUCCAUUGGCUGAUCGAUUAUACCGCUGGU